UUCCACAGAGCCGGGACCGAGCGAGCCGGCGAGCGACCGCGGUAAAGGUAUCGCACCGUAGUCAGAGGCCACCGGAGUCGGGUUACAUUUUGUUAGUAGUUUACCCCUUUUAUCAUCUUUGUAUUUGAUGAUUUAAGAUGUUGAUGUGUAAAGCAAAGUAAAGAAAAGAAUGUAAUGUUCAUUUUGAGGUAAAUGUGAUGUAAAAGAAAUGAUGAAAGAAUGUAAAGAUUUUGGAUGUACAAGUUGGCUAGAUAUAACGUAUGUGAUCAAAAUGAAUCAUAUUACUUGAGAAUGUUUAGUUUCCUUUUUCUUUCACUAAUGGCUAUUGCUUACCCUCGUGUAAGCCGUUUGUGUAUGUUUCC
rnacentral:lncRNA from 1 species